rnacentral:tRNA from 1 species
GCAUCAAUGGGGUAGUGGUAACCUGGGUCGUUGCCAUUUCACGGUGAUGUUUCGACCCGCCGGGGGUUCGAUUCCCCCUUGAUGCA